rfam:Aureobasidium subglaciale EXF-2481 unplaced genomic scaffold scaffold_18, whole genome shotgun sequence.
UCUUCAUUGGUCUAGUGGUCAUGAUUUCCGCUUGUCAAGAGUAAGAUCUCGUCAGGCGCGGGAGACCAGGGUUCGAUUCCCUGAUGGAGAG